rnacentral:rRNA from 1 species
UAAUACGGGAGGCNGCAGUGGGGAAUAUUGCACAAUGGGCGCAAGCCUGAUGCAGCCAUGCCGCGUGUGUGAAGAAGGCCUUAGGGUUGUAAAGCACUUUCAGUAAGGAGGAAAGGUUAGUAGUUAAUACCUGCUAGCUGUGACGUUACUUACAGAAGAAGCACCGGCUAACUCCGUGCCAGCAGCCGCGGUAAUACGGAGGGUGCGAGCGUUAAUCGGAAUUACUGGGCGUAAAGCGUACGCAGGCGGUUUGUUAAGCGAGAUGUGAAAGCCCCGGGCUCAACCUGGGAACUGCUUUUCCAACUGGCAAACUAGAGUAUGAUAGAGGGUGGUAGAAUUUCAGGUGUAGCGGCGAAAUGCCUAAAGAUCCUGAGGAAUCCCCAUGGCGAAGGGCGCCCCCUGGGUCAAUACUGACCCUCCUGUCCAAAAAACGGGGGAGCCAAACGGAAUAAAAACCCCCGGUAUCCCCCCCCCAAACAAUGUCUCCUAUGAGCUGGGGGUUUC